rnacentral:rRNA from 1 species
UACGUAGGGUGCAAGCGUUGUCCGGAAUUAUUGGGCGUAAAGAGCUCGUAGGUGGCCUGUCGCGUCGGCUGUGAAAACUCGGGGCUCAACUCCGAGCUUGCAGUCGAUACGGGCAGGCUAGAGUUCGGCAGGGGAGACUGGAAUUCCUGGUGUAGCGGUGAAAUGCGCAGAUAUCAGGAGGAACACCGGUGGCGAAGGCGGGUCUCUGGGCUGGUAUUGACGCUGAGGAGCGAAAGUGUGGGUAGCAAACAGG